rnacentral:tRNA from 1 species
AUCUUAUUAGUUUAAUGGUAAAACAAGAUACUUCUAAUAUCUGAAAUUUAGGUUCAAGUCCUAAGUAAGAUU